UUCCAAAAAGACGGUUAAGUUCGUCUCAACUUCACGCUCGCCGCAAACUAAUCACGUGGGUUUGCGGCUGGCCACUAAUUCCACCGUGACGCUCACAAGCAAACUGUGGGCUUAGCGGCAGAUAUGCAGAACCCGCAUGACCCGCAAACUCACUUAGCUAGCUUUCUUGUCUGCAAACUACAGGCUGCAGCGCUUCACUUGUAAGCCCAAUAAAAAAAGCACUGCAUAUUACUUGUCAAGAGUCCAUUAAUCUGGCAUCUUACAUUAUCCAGGAUAGCUAUAUUACAUUUUGACAUGAACGUUAUCAGUACAACAGUAUAUCAACUUGCUCUUCAGCAAUUCAACUUGAUACCUCGUAGGGUUUUCUGAAUACUAAUCAAAUCCCUAACUUGCCACUGUGAUAAUCUUGAUAGAAGUUAAUGACCUGAAAUCUUUGGACACUAACGAUGGUGACAAGUAAAAGAAUAAACUUUGAAGAAUCUUUAUCCUCCAAGCACCUUCAUUCCUUCUUCAAAUCUGAAGUGAAAAAACAAGAUUUCUGAUCGGAACGGUUUUAUCAUGGGAACAAAAUACAGUUAGCUGUGAGCCAAAACAACUGCAUCAUAUUCAGAAUCAAAAUUUCUGCCUCAAAGAGUUCAGAAAAAUAAUGGAUGCCAACCUACUCAUUGUAGUACUAAAAAUACAAGCAGUCAGUAAAACCAAAACAAGUUGGUAUUUUAUUCAAAUUGGUUGAUCUUAUUCACAUUCCAGGCUCUUUUGUUCACUUGGAAGAUACUAGGCCGAAGGCUAAGAGUAGAACUAACCUGAUCCCUAGCUCAAAUUUACUACUAGUACUACAGCGAUUCAAUUAGAUAGCACUGCCAUAGUACAGUACACCUAGAGAUUGAAUCAAUCAAGAACAUGGCAGGACUGUACCUAGAGCCGUACAGCUAAAGAAAUUACCACUGUACCAUUCAUCGAAAAAAUUAGCUCUGUUUGCAUACUCCUUUGCCGUCCUCCUUCUUGAGCAACCUGUUCUCCUUGCGCAGCCUCCGUAUUGUCUGCAUUCAUAGAAGAAGUUCACUGGACCCAUAAUUACACUUUGCUGCAGCUCAUUGAGCGGCUGCUGCUGCAGCUGUGCUGCCUGUGCAGCCCAGCCAUUCGGCUGCAUGCCAAAAUAGCAGUACAGCUGCGCUAGCUGGCUGGGAGCAGUUGUUGAAGAAGCUGCUGCUGUCCUGUAGCGACUGCUGCAUCCCAUUCAGCAUAGCUGCAUAGGCCCCCAUGUGUAUCCAGCACCGUGUGUCCUCCGAGAGUUAAGAAGCCUCUAGAGUUUAGAAAAAUUAACAAUGCCUAACAUAGAUCAUAGUGAGGUUAAGAAGCUAAUGUGAGAACUUCAGCUAGUUUUGUAUAUGUGAGGUGACUGUCCUGCUGCACAGUAUCAUCUUCUUCUACAACUUCUCCCAAAUCAUCAACUAUCAUACCCAAAAUUGAAGUGCUCGCAAAUAGCACUGUCCCAUGAGAUUCAGGCCAGCGGCAACUCGGGGGAGGCACGAAACGUGCAACAGUGAAAAAGUACAUAUGAGUUACAGUUUGCUUUACUUCGAUUAAUCACUAUCAUGCGGCAGUUUCUUAUACAACUUUGUUUAGUAGACCAUUCGUGCGCAACUAAACACACGAUCCGCACAUGCAUCCACCCAUCCAGGUGAAAACCACAACAAACCUAAUCAAAGACUUGAAGAAAUCUCCUGCAAUUUAUACCGUCAUGAGAACAGAUCGAAGAAAACUCGCAAAACCUGACACCGAUCGAUCCCCCGAUCCCCAACCACAACAAAUCAUCGAUUAAUAAACCAAAUCACGAAACCUCGGCAACAGGAGAGUUCACCUCGUCAUCAUUGGCGCCGGAAGAGAGCCCGUCCUCCUCGCGCGCCCUCGCGGCUGUCGCCGCGGACACCGGUGGCAGCGGCGGAGGAUGGGGCGGGGCUGGGGCGCUCUAGGGUUGGGAUUGGUAGCAGGGCAUACUAGCGGCCAACGUUGACGGUGGCGGCAGCAGCGGAAGGGCGGCCGGGCGUGGACGUGGACGGCGGCGGCAGCUAGGUUUCGCGAGGAGAAACGAAGAUGCGGGUUCUUUGCGGAUUUCUUCUCUGGUCCGCGGGCCUUAGCACGUUCACCAAUGUUGGGCCACCAGAAUUUCGCCGCUGGGCCGCAU
rnacentral:lncRNA from 1 species